UACGAAGGGGGCUAGCGUUGUUCGGAAUUACUGGGCGUAAAGGGCGCGUAGGCGGUGUGUCAAGUCAGGCGUGAAAGCCCCGGGCUCAACCUGGGAAUUGCAUUCGAGACUGAAUAGCUAGGGUACGGUAGAGGGAAGUGGAAUUUCCGGUGUAGCGGUGAAAUGCGUAGAUAUCGGAAGGAACAUCAGUGGCGAAAGCGACUUCCUGGACCAGUACCGACGUUCAGGCACGAAAGCGUGGGGAGCAAACAGG
rnacentral:rRNA from 1 species